rnacentral:tRNA from 1 species
UCUCUGGCAGUCCAGUGGUUAGGACUCUGCACUUCCAAUGCAAGGGGUUCGGGUUAGAUCCCUGCUUGGGGAA